rnacentral:rRNA from 1 species
GGGUCAUUAGGUUGGUCGUGCCACCGGUACGUACUGGUCUCACUGAUUCCUCCUUCCUGAAGAACCGUAAUGCCAUUAAUUUGGUGUUGCGGGGAAACAGGACUGUUACUUUGAAAAAAUUAGAGUGUUUAAAGCAAGCUAACGCUUGAAUACAUUAGCAUGGAAUAAUGAAACAGGACGAUCGAUCCUAUUUUGUUGGUUUCUAGGAUUGACGUA